UUCCCCCAAAAUCUAGUUUCAUAACAAUUACAGUACAAUUCCACAUCAAAUUUAACACAAAUUGGACAUCAAAACACAAACACGAAAAACAU